rnacentral:rRNA from 1 species
GAUUAUGACGUGCUUGCACUGAAUGAGAUUUUAACACGAAGUGAGUGGCGGACGGGUGAGUAACACGUGGGUAACCUGCCCAGAAGCAGGGGAUAACACCUGGAAACAGAUGCUAAUACCGUAUAACAGAGAAAACCGCCUGGUUUUCUUUUAAAAGAUGGCUCUGCUAUCACUUCUGGAUGGACCCGCGGCGCAUUAGCUAGUUGGUGAGGUAACGGCUCACCAAGGCGAUGAUGCGUAGCCGACCUGAGAGGGUAAUCGGCCACAUUGGGACUGAGACACGGCCCAGACUCCUACGGGAGGCAGCAGUAGGGAAUCUUCCACAAUGGACGCAAGUCUGAUGGAGCAACGCCGCGUGAGUGAAGAAGGGUUUCGGCUCGUAAAGCUCUGUUGUUAAAGAAGAACGUGGGUGAGAGUAACUGUUCACCCAGUGACGGUAUUUAACCAGAAAGCCACGGCUAACUACGUGCCAGCAGCCGCGGUAAUACGUAGGUGGCAAGCGUUAUCCGGAUUUAUUGGGCGUAAAGCGAGCGCAGGCGGUCUUUUAAGUCUAAUGUGAAAGCCUUCGGCUCAACCGAAGAAGUGCAUUGGAAACUGGGAGACUUGAGUGCAGAAGAGGACAGUGGAACUCCAUGUGUAGCGGUGAAAUGCGUAGAUAUAUGGAAGAACACCAGUGGCGAAGGCGGCUGUCUGGUCUGUAACUGACGCUGAGGCUCGAAAGCAUGGGUAGCGAACAGGAUUAGAUACCCUGGUAGUCCAUGCCGUAAACGAUGAUUACUAAGUGUUGGAGGGUUUCCGCCCUUCAGUGCUGCAGCUAACGCAUUAAGUAAUCCGCCUGGGGAGUACGACCGCAAGGUUGAAACUCAAAAGAAUUGACGGGGGCCCGCACAAGCGGUGGAGCAUGUGGUUUAAUUCGAAGCUACGCGAAGAACCUUACCAGGUCUUGACAU